GACGAACCGUGCGAACGUUGUUCGGAUUCACUGGGCUUAAAGGGCGCGUAGGCGGCUUGCCAAGUCAGGGGUGAAAUCUUUCGGCUCAACCGGAAAACAGCUUCUGAUACUGGCGGGCUUGAGGGAGGUAGGGGCGGAUGGAACUUCCGGUGGAGCGGUGAAAUGCGUAGAUAUCGGAAGGAACGCCGGUGGCGAAAGCGAUCCGCUGGACCUCCUCUGACGCUGAGGCGCGAAAGCCAGGGGAGCAAAGCGGG
rnacentral:rRNA from 1 species